GAGCGAUGAUGUGACUUCAUUAACCCUGAAGUGUAUUUUCUAAAAAGUACAUUUCAUGAUGGUUUCUACACUUGAACUGAGCUCA
rnacentral:snoRNA from 1 species